rnacentral:sRNA from 1 species
AAGAUUAUGUUUCACACGUUAUCUGAUAAAAGAUACAUGAUGGCAUUGCACAGGUUCCACUAGAACGAGUUCAUAAAAGGGCAACAAAAGGCACAACAUAAUUUACACUUGAGAACAUAUGGCAAGGGUUUUAUGCUGCGAUAGGGACUUUGCAGGUUGCCUUGUUGUGCCCAUAACCCUUACACCUGCUGCAGCGCACCGCCCUUUUGAUUGCGAUUCGAGGAUCAGCUGGCUUUUCCUUUGGUCUUCCAACCUGCCUCCGGGUUAGAAUCGGUGAUUGAUGUAAUGCCUCGCCUUGUGAUGGGUCAGUUGAUGGAGCAGCCACAACAAUGUCAGGUAUUGGAUUGAUUGACAUGGCAUAGGUCAAGCGGUAGCACUCUGUUGUGAAAUACUUGGCACAGAAGUCAAGUGGGUUAUGAUCAGUGCGCUCAAACACCGCAAUUGCAUGUGAGCAUGGGAUCCCAGAGACAUGCCACUUUCUGCAGGUGCAGUCCCAUGUAUCAAUGUUGACAACAUUGACAGCGCCAUCGCAUACCUCAAACACAUUAUUGUUUCCGUCAUUGCCUGUUGAGCAAACAACACUGUGUGUAAGAGCUUUGCCCAUCUCUUCCUGAAUUUUCUGAUUGGUUGAUGGAGUUAGCGGUUCCGUCCAUGAAUUCGAAUAUUCCCUGCGCGUAUACAUCAUCUCCAUCAAGUUGCAUCUGAUUGUAUCAACCAACUGCACUACUGAGAGCUCAUAUCUACUGGGGACCCACUGAAGAAUUGUCUCGGGAACAUUGCAGGUGUACUGGCCAAGUCGCGACCCCUUGAAGAAGGCAUCUGACCACUUCUCAGGUUUAGUCUCCAAAAGCCAUUCAGCAAGCUUAUCAGAUUCAACUUUGAUGAGUUCAAUACACUGGUUGAAUUCAUCAACUUUGCAUGAAUACAUGGCUUUCUUAACAUGCUCAACCAUUGUAUCUUUUAGUUCUUCACUCCAACUGUCAUCCAAUUGUGCCUUAAAUUCUUCAAUAAAAUAGUUGACAUGGUAGCCAUGAUAGCUAUCUGGAAAUAUAAGAGAGACCUCAUCCAACAGACCACAUUUGCCAUUUGAUAUGAAUGUUAGUUCUCCAGACACAGGCAAUGAAGCUUUUAGCUGUUCAAGAAACCAAUGCCAAUUUUCUUGACUCUCGUCGUCCACUACAGAGAGUGCAACUGGGAACAUAUCGCCUUCACCAUCAACUGAGGUAGCAGCCAACAGCUUCCAAUGCUUGUUCGGUUUCACAGAUAUCACAUCAAGAAAGAGGAGAGGUCUGCAGCCAUGCACAAAACCUUGAAUGGAGGCAUGAAAUGCAACAAAGAAGCGGAAUUUUGAAUCUUCCAAGGCCUCUACUGUUGCCGCACUUCCAGGGUUUGUCUCGACAAUCCUUUGGCAAAACCAAGGAAGCUGGUUGCAUGCCUCUUCAUGUGAACUGUAUAGUUCUUUCUGGGCUAUUGAUUUGCCUCGCCAAGCUUGGGAGUAAUUCAGGCUUAGCCCAUAUUCCCGCUGAAGAUCAUUAGCAAUAUCUCUUGGCCUAUAGUUUGGACUAUCACGCAAUUUUUCCUUAAUAACACUGGCCACCCACUUUUGAGACGCUAGACGAUGACUUUUGACUGACUCUGAUUCACAUGUAUGACUUCCAAAAACUUUCUUAAUCAUGAAAUCCUUCUUUGCAGGAGACUUGGAUGCAUGUAUACGCCAUGGACAUCCUUCAGCGGUACAUUCCACAGUGACACGAGAAGAGUCAUUCUUGACAAAUCUGUAAUGGAACCUAUGUGCAAUGGCAUACUUGUGUAGUGCAUCACGGAAUUCCUUUGGACCUUCAAACACUUGACCAGCUCCAGUAAUCGCAUUCUCCCAACUUGCACAAAUCUUUUGCCUCUUAGAUCCAUCUGGAGUAGUUGCUGCUACAGCAUGAUCUGCAGAAGCAGCAGGCACCACGGCAGAUGGUACCUGUUGUCAGCCUUCUUCAUGACAUAAAUAUAUGUUGUCUCUGACUCUGCAUGGAAUUCAACCAUGCGUUUUAGGUCUUUGUCAUUGGAAAUUGAAAUCAAAGUCUUGUUAUUCCUCGGAAGGAAGUACUUGAACACAUAGGAGUCAAGUUUGAGGUUAUUGAGCGUUGAAGAUAUCUCAUGUUUGAAUGUUUUAAAAGUCCAAUCACUUUUCACAUGCAUCGCGUGCGCCUCUCCACCAGAAUAGGACAUCUGUCCAUCAUCAUCAGUUUUGAAUUCUCCACCUACUUGAAGAACAGCUACUAUCUGUUUGCUCCCCAUGACUUA